rnacentral:rRNA from 1 species
UGCCAGCAGCCGCGGUAAUACGUAGGGAGCAAGCGUUGUCCGGAAUCAUUGGGCGUAAAGAGCGCGUAGGCGGCCCGGUAAGUCCGUUCUGAAAGUCGGAGGCUCAACCUCCGAAAGCGGAUGGAUACUGCCGGGCUAGAGUCCGGAAGAGGCGAGUGGAAUUCCUGGUGUAGCGGUGGAAUGCGCAGAUAUCAGGAGGAACACCAACGGCGAAGGCAGCUCGCUGGGACGGUACUGACGCUGAGGCGCGAAAGCGUGGGGAGCGAACAGGAUUAGAUACCCUGGUAGUCC